ACUGGAGUUUGUAUCCUGGCUCAGGACGAACGCUUGCGGCGUGCCUAAGAAAUGCAAGUCGAACGGGGCUUCGGCCCAGUGGCGAACGGUCGCGUAACACGUAAGCAACCUGCCCUGAAGUGGGGGACAACAUCCCGAAAGGGUGCUAAUACCGCAUGUGGUCACGAGUCGGCAUCGACUUGUGUCUAAAGAUUUAUCGCUUCAGGAUGGGCUUGCGGCCUAUCAGGUAGUUGGUGGGGUAAUGGCCUACCAAGCCGACGACGGGUAGCUGGUCUGAGAGGACGAUCAGCCGGAUUGGGACUGAGAUACGGCCCAGACUCCUACGGGGAGGCAGCAGUGGGGAAUCUUGCGCAAUGGGGCGAAAGCCUGACGCAGCAACGCCGCGUGCGGGGAUGAAGGCC
rnacentral:rRNA from 1 species